rnacentral:tRNA from 1 species
GGCGACGUGGCGGAGUGGUUACGCGGCGGCCUGCAAAGCCGUUUACACCGGUUCGAUUCCGGUCGUCGCCU